rnacentral:rRNA from 1 species
UACGAAGGGGGCUAGCGUUGUUCGGAAUUACUGGGCGUAAAGCGCGCGCAGGCGGCUAUCCAAGUCAGUGGUGAAAGCCCGGAGCUUAACUCCGGAACUGCCAUUGAAACUGUUUAGCUUGAGUAUGAGAGAGGUGAGUGGAAUUCCCAGUGUAGAGGUGAAAUUCGUAGAUAUUCGGAAGAACACCAGUGGCGAAGGCGACUUACUGGACACAUAUUGACGCUGAGGUGCGAAAGCGUGGGGAGCAAACAGG